rnacentral:rRNA from 1 species
GACGAACGCUGGCGGCGUGCUUAACACGUGCAAGUCGAGCGGUAAGGCCCUUUCGGGGGUACACGAGCGGCGAACGGGUGAGUAACACGUGGGUGACCUGCCCUCAGCUCUGGGAUAAGCCUGGGAAACCGGGUCUAAUACUGGAUAUGACUCCAUGACGCAUGUUGUGGGGUGGAAAGCCUUGUGCGGCUGAGGAUGGGCCCGCGGCCUAUCAGCUUGUUGGUGGGGUGAUGGGCCUACCAAGGCGACGACGGGUAGCCGGCCUGAGAGGGCGACCGGCCACACUGGGACUGAGACACGGCCCAGACUCCUACGGGAGGCAGCAGUGGGGAAUCUUGCGCAAUGGGCGAAAGCCUGACGCAGCGACGCCGCGUGAGGGAUGACGGCCU